UACGUAGGGAGCGAGCGUUGUCCGGAUUCAUUGGGCGUAAAGAGCUCGUAGGCGGCUUGAUAAGUCGGAUGUGAAACCUCCAGGCUCAACCUGGAGUCGCCAUCCGAUACUGUCAUGGCUAGAGUCCGGUAGGGGGCCCACGGAACUCCUGGUGUAGCGGUGAAAUGCGCAGAUAUCAGGAGGAACACCGGUGGCGAAGGCGGG
rnacentral:rRNA from 1 species